GUAGGUGAACCUGCGGAAGGAUCAAUAACACGUAUCCAACGUUAAAAACCCCCCCGUGACAUGGUUGCAAUCCUGGUAAAUCAUUGCCGAACAGUUUUGAUUCAGGGACAUCAAGCACGUUAGUGUCCUGAUAAAAGAGGCGCUGCAACAGAGCUGUCAGCGAGUGGCAAGUGAGGGAGUCAGUCAGGGGUUGUUAAUGUUCAACCUGUCAUCUUGUAAGUUGAGAGUGUCUUUUGAUUUUGAACGGGUAGACCACCCCAGGUGGGUCACUGUGGCCGACACGGCCGUGAUGGGAUUCUGGCGUCGGCCUAUAGGUAGAACUAGCGCCCGACAUGACCUCUUGAAACGACAGGGGCGUAACCGGACCAAUUUUUAAUCUGCCCCUUACCUAACAGGUACUCGGGUCAAACGAACAACUGUUAACAAUGGAUAUCUUGGUUCUC
rnacentral:misc_RNA from 1 species